rnacentral:rRNA from 1 species
UGAGGAAUAUUGCGCAAUGGGGGCAACCCUGAUGCAGCAACGCCGCGUGGAGGACGACGGUUUUCGAAUUGUAAACUCCUUUUCUGUGGGAAGAGAAGGGACGGUACCACAGGAAUAAGACACGGCUAACUACGUGCCAGCAGCCGCGGUAAUACGUAGGUGUCGAGCGUUAUCCGGAAUUACUGGGCGUAAAGGGCACGCAGGCGGCUCUUCAAGUCUGACGUGAAAGCUCCCGGCUUAACUGGGAGAGGUCGUUGGAAACUGAAGAGCUUGAGGUAGUGAGAGGGAGGCGGAAUUCCCGGUGUAGUGGUGGAAUGCGUAGAGAUCGGGAAGAACACCAGUGGCGAAGGCGGCCUCCUGGCACUGACCUGACGCUCAGGUGCGAAAGCGUGGGUAGCGAACGGGAUAGAUACCCCCGUAGUCC